AGGGAAUCUUCCGCAAUGGACGAAAGUCUGACGGAGCAACGCCGCGUGAGUGAUGAAGGUUUUCGGAUCGUAAAACUCUGUUGUUAGGGAAGAACAAGUACCGUUCGAAUAGGGCGGUACCUUGACGGUACCUAACCAGAAAGCCACGGCUAACUACGUGCCAGCAGCCGCGGUAAUACGUAGGUGGCAAGCGUUGUCCGGAAUUAUUGGGCGUAAAGCGCGCGCAGGCGGUUUCUUAAGUCUGAGGUGAAAGCCCCCGGCUCAACCGGGGAGGGUCAUCGGAAACUGGGGAACUUGAGUGCAGAAGAGGAGAGUGGAAUUCCACGUGUAGCGGUGAAAUGCGUAGAGAUGUGGAGGAACACCAGUGGCGAAGGCGACUCUCUGGUCUGUAACUGACGCUGAGGCGCGAAAGCGUGGGGAGCAAAC
rnacentral:rRNA from 1 species